rnacentral:rRNA from 1 species
GACGAACGCUGGCGGCGUGCUUAACACAUGCAAGUCGAGCGGAAAGGCCUCUUCGGGGGUACUCGAGCGGCGAACGGGUGAGUAACACGUGGGUGACCUGCCCUCAGCUCUGGGAUAAGCCUGGGAAACUGGGUCUAAUACCGGAUAUGACUCCAUGACGCAUGUCGUGGGGUGGAAAGCCUUGUGCGGCUGGGGAUGGGCCCGCGGCCUAUCAGCUUGUUGGUGGGGUGAUGGCCUACCAAGGCGACGACGGGUAGCCGGCCUGAGAGGGCGACCGGCCACACUGGGACUGAGACACGGCCCAGACUCCUACGGGAGGCAGCAGUGGGGAAUCUUGCGCAAUGGGCGAAAGCCUGACGCAGCGACGCCGCGUGAGGGAUGACGGCCU